AGAGGAAUGAUAUGUUUAGCAAGCAGCUUAUUCAUCUUGAACAUGUCAGUGCAGUCUGUCUCAAAAACCACUCGUAGGGCAUCAUCACAAAUUAUCUUUCUCUUAUUGCUUGGAUCUUGGAGGUUGUUUUUCCUUAUGUAUGCCCACAAUUGCUUCACAAUCUCAGUCCUUGGCAAGGCUGGCUCACCAACAACGGCCUGAAGUUCAGGUGAAACGCCACAAACUUUGUUUAACCCACCUGGGCCACCUCUUCUUUUGGCCCC
rnacentral:misc_RNA from 1 species